rnacentral:rRNA from 1 species
AUGGCGACGGCAGGGAAUUCGAAGGCACCGAGUGGCGAGAAUCCGUCCUUAGGCGGGGAGCUCUAUCAGGCUGCAAUCUCUCUGCAUAAGAGUAUCAGCCGGAUCGGGGCCAAGGGGGACAUGAUGUUCGAGAUUGGUCGUCUUGACGCCGCGCAUCGCGUAACUCUGUUUGAGUUGAGAUCGGAGAUGUUCGAGCUGUCGGAAAAGAUCAGGCGCGUGAUGCCCGACGCCUUUCGUAUUGAAGCUAAAGUAUUUGAAGCCGAACAGACCCGCAAGGAGGCAGCGGCAGUGCUAACCUUGGGCUUCAGGCUACAGUUCUUCUCCAAGGAGAUCCAUGAAUUGUGGCAACAGAUGUGCAAAUUGCAGAGCUUGUUCUCGCCAGAGAACAAAGAUGUCAUGAGAACAAUGAUCGUUUUGAAGAAUGAGUACCUGCCCCGUAUCUGCAAGUUGCAGUGGAUUGCUAAACGUAUCAGCAUGCUGCAGCAGGUGGACCUGGAUUUUGAUUCCAAGGUGAAAUUGAUGAUGAUACAGUUGAAAUCUGAAUCUUUCUUAUCAGCUAUGGAGGAGGUGGAGAGGGAACACAUAUGCAAAUCUUCCAUGGAGGAGGAGGAGAGGAGGUUUGCUGCCUACCGUAUGAACUGGGACCGUAUAUGGGGGCACCACAAGAACUUCGAAAACCAGAUGGAGGUGUAUGGAGUGGUAGCAGCCCGAGAUACUGCGGACCGUCAUCGCAACCCUAUAUUCCUUCACAGAAGUAACUACUGCCAAAAACUGGAAGAAAAUGAUUCCUUUUUGUGCCUGGAUGGCCCGGUUCGUGCGAUUGUGUCCAUGGGCACUGUGUACUUUGAAAUUCAACUAAAAGUAAAGGGUGCAUCAGAAUCUGAAGAUAAAGCAUUGAUCAGUACUUAUUUCUUCUACAAUGGUGACAGUUCCGGCGGGCAUGUGGCUAAGAACGACUUCUGCACAGUGGAGUUUUGCUGGGAGCAACUUCGGCAGUCAGUGCAGGCUACUAUCCUGAGUGUGCUUGUUACAUCUGUAGAUGGAAAAUUGCCUUUUCCGCAUGGUGGCAGAGUUGUUUGCUCUUCACAACCUCAGGAUGGUAAUGAAGAUAUUGCUGGGCUCUCAUCCAGGCAAGUUGUGUUGGUUGAUUCAGAAGGUGGAAGAAUGCCAAUUGCUGAACAUGGCUAUCUUGAGCUGUCAAGAGAAGUAGUUUCUGUGGAAUUGAAUGGAAAGUUAAAAGUCCUUAUAGAGGCCUAUUCGACAACACAAUCUGCUGAGAGUGCUCAAGUCAUCUUAAUCACACCAAAAAAAUCCAACAUAACUAAAGUUGCAUGUAGCCUAUAUGCUGGUGGCCCUAAGGUGGAGAUUACUGUUGCUUGGUCCCUCAUUCCGUCGAAGAUGCUUAGUUGA